GUCACUUCCUUUCAUACUCCGUUGGCCAAAUACUUCUCGUGACAGGCUUUCAGAAAACAAGGUGACCUGGGAUCCAGUGUCCACCAAACAGGAUAUUUUAACACCGCAUACCUUCGCUUCCACCACCGGACUCCGUCCAAUCAAUCCGCCCUUCGAAUCCGUUGUUCGAGAUGGGUCUUCUAAAGGGGGCCCGACCACAUGACCCACUGUGGCCGGUCGUCCUAAAAACCCCCAUCGAGCCUCUUCGAGGUCCGCACUGUCGGCUAUAAUGUCCGGCCUCCCCACAACGGUUGCAGAUGGGUCGCCCCUGUUCGUCCCAUUCAAAGCGUGGGCGAGCCGGCCGACUCAAUCGUCUCCCCGGAUCCCGGCCACCAUCGGAAUACGCUCGCUCUCGAGGGGCGUGCCUUACCUCCUGGCUAGGGGCCCCCUGCCGCAAUUCCUCCAACAGUGUUUUAGACAGCUCUUUCAUCUGUUCACGGACAUCCUUCAUGAGCUCGGUCCUUAAUGUCUGUUUCCAAUCCACUUCGGGAGGGGCAGCUGCACUACUACUUACGGCCGCACACACAGGGGAAUCUUUAACCUCGACCUGGUCGAGCUCUAAGGCAACUGCCUCCUUCUUCAGAUCUUCAAACGUCAGUUCAGGAUCUCUUCGGAACUGUACCCGUAGGCUCUGCCGCACUGGGCCUUCCCGCAGUCCUAGUAGGAACUGAUCCCUCAGAAGGAUCUCUCCGUCCUCCAGGCCGUGAUCCGGACAUUUUUGCAAUCUGGUGAGCUGCUCCCGAAGUCGUAGUGCAUAGGCUCGUAUAGGCUGCCGGGGUCCUUGUUUACAACUAAAGAACUGGGCUCGGAGGACGGCAACGGGGGUGGUAUCUCCGUAUUGCUCGGACAGGAAGUUAAAGACGGACUGGGCCGUAGCCCGCACAGCUUCCGGGGCGGCCUGGACUUCGCGCCGCGCUUCCCCUUCCAAGGAGUUCAGUACGAACUGUAGCUGUUGGACUGCACUCAACCCUUGAAGCCCGGCCAAAUACUCAAUCUGGGCUCUCCAUUCAGAUAGUCUCACCUCUGAUUCGGUGCCGCCAUAUUUCUGGACCCAUGGGUUUCCCAUAAACACAGGCAUGACUCGGGGUGGGACUCCUGGCAGCUCGUCGUCGGCCAUUGGGGGACCUUGAUCGCUCCACUCGAGGUGGAACCCUGCCGACUACGCCAAAAUCUGUCACAGGUCGGAGCGGACCACAGGUGUUGCGAGUCACGCCCCUUCCCGACUUCCACCUCGAGGAGGUCCCAAGAUCACCCCAAGGACCAGACACACAAGAUAAGUUAAGGGUAAUUUAAAACAACUUUAUUUAAAUUAUUUAAAAAGGUAAUCUAGGAAAGGAGAAAAGGGGAAUCUAAAAUUUUGAUCUUCGUCUCUUGGCAGGAGGGAACUGAGCCUGAGAACUCUGGAGGUCUUUGGUAAGUAAUCACAAGGGGAGGGGGGGGGCAAAGGGCUCUUUCGUCCUUUCCCAGAACUUCUACCAGUCUCCUGACUAAUCCUAAGUCCUUCCUUAGCGGCUUGAUUUCCCGUGGCGCCCUUCUCUUCUCCUGAAGGCAACAGAACACACAAUGAGUAAUAGAUAAAACGGAGAAGAAUGCCUUGUUCCUAGCUUCUUUGCUCUUUGGGUUGCGCUUCACCAGCGUCUGGACAGCUCCUCCACUCCCAUUGACCUCCUAGGUAAGUAUAAGGCGACACACAAAUCCCUGAGGGCACAGGUAAGUAACAACGGUAAGGAUGUAGCAAGGUAAGUAUUCAACAAGUGACUGUAUCUUCACGCUGGGCUUUACAGGGCGUAUUCAAGGACAAUAGCUUUUAGCUCGUACAGACAGGUAAGUAUUCAACAAGUGACUGUAUCUUCACGCUGGGCUUUACAGGGCGUAUUCAAGGACAAUAGCUUUUAGCUCGUACAGACAGGCAAGUAUUCAACAAGUGACUGUAUCUUCACGCUGGGCUUUUCAGGGCGUAUUCAAGGGCAAUAGCUUUUAGCUCUGUACAGACAGGUAAGUAUUCAACAAGUGACUGUAUCUUCACGCUGGGCUUUUCAGGGCAUAUUCAAGGGCAAUAGCUUUUCCCACAAUAUCCGCACAAUACCUUGUUUUGCUUUCGCACUUCACCUUCAAGCUGGGUCCAGAGAACGGAGUUAUAGGCGGGCGUAGGUGGAAUAGGUGGGCACCGCCACGGCAGCCUACGUUCUUUCCAACAGGAACCUUUCUCGGCCUGGAGGGCAAGUACAGACAACAGGGACACGGCACAGCACUGCAAAGCUUUAGUGCACACACGUCAAAGACAGACUCACCCACUGCACUACACACACUUCAGUGAUUUUUAAGGUCGGUACUCCACACCCGGUCGGAUUUCGU
ensembl:lncRNA